rnacentral:lncRNA from 1 species
CUGCGGUCCAGGGACGCCGGCCUCCUGUGAAGCUGGAGUGUCUGUCUGCCCCCGCACGUGUUCGCCCCGCGGAGCAGGUCCUCGUAAGCUUCAAGAGAGCAAGACUUUGGUGGUUCAAACCCAGGCUCUGUCACUAGUUAGCUUUGUGUGCUUGGGUUUGUACCUAGCGAAAUGCAUCAUGGGACUUCUUUACAAGUCUCAUUUGAAGCCCAUUGUCUGAGAAGUUUCAGAGCUGCAGUGUCUUGUGCUCACUCACCAAGAGCCAACAAACACCACUUGUUUAUUGGGGUGAAUAUAUUAUUUUCGGUUCUUGUUUGAGCAAACCAAAUUCAUGCACUUUAAACGUAAGAUGUCACUGUUCCCAGGCAUUCCUUCCAUCUUCCUUGGGGAGGUGAGCUUCUUUCUGGAUGCUUUCUUCAGUCUGACUCUGCUUGAUAGGAGAUCAAAGAGCUUUUGUUUCUCUGUUUUCUGUAUCCAUUAGGCUGGCUGUCCUGUUUCAAUGAGAUUAAGUGGCCUCUGGAGAGGACAGACACCAGGGAGAAAGGGCGAUGAACUGAUGAUGACCAUACAAUAUGGCUG